rnacentral:rRNA from 1 species
CUCUCGUCGUCAUUGCCUUAGUAGCGGCGAGUGAGCGGCAAAAGCUCAAAUUUGAAAUCUGGCACUUUCAGUGUCCGAGUUGUAAUUUGAAGAAGGUAUCUUUGGGUCUGGCUCUUGUCUAUGUUUCUUGGAACAGAACGUCACAGAGGGUGAGAAUCCCGUGCGAUGAGAUGUCCCAGACCUAUGUAAAGUUCCUUCGAAGAGUCGAGUUGUUUGGGAAUGCAGCUCUAAGUGGGUGGUAAAUUCCAUCUAAAGCUAAAUAUUGGCGAGAGACCGAUAGCGAACAAGUACAGUGAUGGAAAGAUGAAAAGAACUUUGAAAAGAGAGUGAAAAAGUACGUGAAAUUGUUGAAAGGGAAGGGCUUGAGAUCAGACUUGGUAUUUUGUAUGUUACUCUCUCGGGGGUGGCCUCUACAGUUUACCGGGCCAGCAUCAGUUUGAGCGGUAGGAUAAGUGCAAAGAAAUGUGGCACUGCUUCGGUAGUGUGUUAUAGUCUUUGUCGAUACUGCCAGCUUAGACUGAGGACUGCGGCUUCGGCCUAGGAUGUUGGCAUAAUGAUCUUAAGUCGCCCGUCUUACCCCCCGAAACCA